GACGAACGCUGGCGGCGUGCUUAACACAUGCAAGUCGAACGGAAAGGCCCUGCUUUUGUGGGGUGCUUGAGUGGCGAACGGGUGAGUAACACGUGAGUAACCUGCCCUUGACUUUGGGAUAACUUCAGGAAGCUGGGGCUAAUACCGGAUAGGAGCUCCUGCUGCAUGGUGGGGGUUGGAAAGUUUCGGCGGUUGGGGAUGGACUCGCGGCUUAUCAGCUUGUUGGUGGGGUAGUGGCUUACCAAGGCUUUGACGGGUAGCCGGCCUGAGAGGGUGACCGGCCACAUUGGGACUGAGAUACGGCCCAGACUCCUACGGGAGGCAGCAGUGGGGAAUAUUGCACAAUGGGCGGAAGCCUGAUGCAGCAACGCCGCGUGCGGGAUGACGGCCUUCGGGUUGUAAACCGCUUUCGCCUGUGACGAAGCGUGAGUGACGGUAAUGGGUAAAGAAGCACCGGCUAACUACGUG
rnacentral:rRNA from 1 species